rnacentral:rRNA from 1 species
GAGGAAUAUUGGUCAAUGGACGGAAGUCUGAACCAGCCAAGUAGCGUGCAGGAUGACGGCCCUAUGGGUUGUAAACUGCUUUUGUAUGGGGAUAAAGUUAGGGACGUGUCCCUAUUUGCAGGUACCAUACGAAUAAGGACCGGCUAAUUCCGUGCCAGCAGCCGCGGUAAUACGGAAGGUCCAGGCGUUAUCCGGAUUUAUUGGGUUUAAAGGGAGCGUAGGCUGGAGAUUAAGUGUGUUGUGAAAUGUAGACGCUCAACAUCUGAAUUGCAGCGCAUACUGGUUUCCUUGAGUACGCACAACGUUGGCGGAAUUCGUCGUGUAGCGGUGAAAUGCUUAGAUAUGACGAAGAACUCCGAUUGCGAAGGCAGCUGACGGGAGCGCAACUGACGCUUAAGCUCGAAGGUGCGGGUAUCAAACAGGAUUAGAUACCCUGGUAGUCCGCACAGUAAACGAUGGAUGCCCGCUGUUGGUACCUGGUAUCAGCGGCUAAGCGAAAGCAUUAAGCAUCCCACCUGGGGAGUACGCCGGCAACGGUG